CAGCAGCCGCGGUAAUACGUAGGUCCCGAGCGUUGUCCGGAUUUAUUGGGCGUAAAGCGAGCGCAGGCGGUUAGAUAAGUCUGAAGUUAAAGACUGUGGCUUAACCAUAGUAUGCUUUGGAAACUGUUUAACUUGAGUGCAGAAGGGGAGAGUGGAAUUCCAUGUGUAGCGGUGAAAUGCGUAGAUAUAUGGAGGAACACCGGUGGCGAAAGCGGCUCUCUGGUCUGUAACUGACGCUGAGGCUCGAAAGCGUGGGGAGCAAACAGGAUUAGAUACCCGCGUAGUCCCUGUCUCUUAUACA
rnacentral:rRNA from 1 species